rnacentral:lncRNA from 1 species
CCUCAAAUCACAGCCAAUCUACUUCCUGUAAAUUCCUGUAUAGCUCUGCACAUGGGCUGAUGAAGAAGAAAAGCUCAAAGAAGAAGCAUACAGCUGGCUCACUUCAUGGACGUCCUGAGCUCCACCUAAUGUUUGGCUGCGGGGCUUAGUAUCUGCUCCCAUCAGUUGCUAGAUGAAUUCCCUCUGGUUGUCUUGAUAAUGAUUCUGCUGGACCAUGGUUCCAGAACACUCUGAAGAUUGGAAAAACUAUAGAUCAAAGGUUUUAUGGCUGGUUAAUUACAGAUGGAAUCAACUUGGCAACCAAAAAUACCCAUCACAGAUAAUACCCCUGACAUUUAUCCUGGAAAUCCACAUGUUCCUAGAAGAUGGCAUGGGAGCCAUGGAAUCUGGAGUAAAGAUUGGUCAUGACCAACCAUAUGGGAGCUGAACUCUAUCUUUUGGAAGAGAACACAGUACUCUUAAUUGCUUAACCAUCUGUCCAUCACUAUUGUGCCCAGUCUUUCAAAACUAAGAACAUGUCCUCACCCAACCUGCAACAUGGGUUCGAAGUCUUAUGAUUUUUCAAACAUCUGAAAUGACAAGACCACAGUCAGAAGUAUAAUACCUAACAUCCUAAGGACUAGAGAGAACCAAGAGAGAUGGAACUGGGAUCAGUUAAAGUGCUUCCCUGAUGGAUAACUGUCCACUGUUCUUCUAAGAAGCUGAUGCAACUGACAUCAUUUAGAAAAUGAUUUUAUUUCAACAGUAAACUGAGUUGAAAAUGGCAUCGACCAUGUCACAUCUUCUUCUACAAAGACCAAUGCAGUAAUUACUUUUCUAAACAGAUGGGGGAUGCUGAACAUCUCUGAAUAUAAACAUGGAAACCUUCCAUAACAUCUGCUGCUAAUUUCUGCCAGCUGAAAAGUGAUAAUGAUGAUGAAUACUUUUGUUGAUGAUGUGGAUACAUUGGUCUAACUAAAUUAACUUGCAGACUCAGGGCAUAUAAUUGAAAACACAUGAUUUGUGGUAUCACCUGGUUGGCUUUAUGGGUAGUUACAUAUUUAAUUGUUCCAAUACGUUUAACUUUAAAAAGCUAAAAGGGUAAAAUAAACCAGAAUAUUGGUAUAAUGUCAGGCUGAAUAUAGCUUGCUUAUUUGAUCAUCAUCAAAUAUUUUUGAAGGCAAAAAUUGACUGAAAAUUGUAUACUUAAGAUACUAACUUGCAAUUAUUGAUGAAGGGUGGUGAUAAUUAAGGUUUUCAGCUAGCCUGAAACUUCUUACUGUUAGCCUAAUCAAGUUUUGUUUUAUAGUGGACAAA